GCCUCUGCCCCGUCCCGCCUGCGCGGAUCCCUCCGCCCGCUCCGAGGGUCCGCGGAAAGUAGUCCCGCGCGCCCUCUGCCCUGACGCGGUGUGUGCCAGCUACCCGAGUGAAAGGUUUUCGGGGGAUUAAUCCUGAUGGGGUCUGCGGCGGCCCUUGCCCAGCGCCUUCCACAUGUGGAGCGGGCCAGUGGUGCUAGUUCUGCCGCCAACUCUGGACGGUUGAGUUCAGGGCCACUUUUUACUCAGGCACGGAUGUGACAGAAAGAUGGAAAAGGGUCUUGGAAGAACCACAUGUGCCGUAUAACGAACGACCUUUUGGUCUGAGGAGGACCGUGUAUAUGACGGUGGUCCCAUAACAUGAUAACGGAGCUGGAAACUUCCUGUCCUCUGGUGAGGGCUUAGCUAAGGACAUUUCCUCUCCUGUAUUUGGAGAUACACGUACAGGUGGAUCUGAAGCAGUGCUGCCUUAGUCUCCUUGGACUCUCAGCUCCAUUUCCUCAGCUCAAGUAGUCCACUGGGCUCUACCUCAGUUCUGCCUCCUCUUGCUGUGGCCUAGAAAUUCUCUCUGGAUAUCAGAAAACAAAGGACAGUAAUCCCUGCCAAGAUGGGAUACAAACAAGCUGCAGCCCUUGGUGCACAGUAUGAUCUGGACCUGGGGCACAGCAAGACCAGAACCAUGAACCACCAUGAACCAUGACUCCUCACUUGUGAGAUGACGUGUGCAAGGUGACCUAUGGUGCUUCAUGACCACAGAAGUGACCACUCUACACUGUGAAAUGAAUUUCUGCAUGGGGGGUAUAUUAGGGUUCUCUACAGGGACAGAACUAAUAGAUAUAUAUGAAAGUUUAUUAAGUAUUAACUUACACAAUCACAAGGUCCCACAAUAGGCCAUCUGCAAGCUGAGGAGCAAGGAGAGCCAGUUCGAGUCCCAAAAUUGAAGAACUUGGGAGUCCGAUGUUUGAGGGCAGGAAGCAUCCAGCACGGGAGAAAGAUGUAGGCUGGGAGGCUAAGCAAGUCUCAUCUCUUCACAUUUUUCUGCCUGCUUUAUAUUCGUUGGCAGCUGAUUAGAUGGUGCCCACCUGAUUAAGAGUGGGUCUGCCUUCCCCAGCCUGACUCAAAUGUUAAUCUCCUUUGGCAACACCCUCACAGACACAUCCAGGAUCAAUAUUGCAUCCUUCAAUCCAAUCAAGUUGACACGCAGUAUUAACCAUGACAGGGGGGAAUGAGAUGACACAAAGGAUCCCUUCUGGCUCUCAUGUUCUGUCACCAUCUACUUCAGGAGAGAGAUGCACUGUGUGGGGAGGAUGAAAGUUAGAAGGAAAAGGCAAGAGAAAUCAGGAGGGUUUGGUAUUCAAUGCGUGUUCAUUUAUUUUACACUUACAAAAGAAAUCGCCCACCCCUUUGCCCCAUUCCCCC
rnacentral:lncRNA from 1 species